AGGGCGCAUGGUGAAUGCCUAGGCACUAGAAGCCGAUGAAGGACGUGACGAACCACGAAAGGCUUCGGGGAGCAGUAAGUAAGCGAUGAUCCGGAGAUAUCCGAAUGGGGGAACCCAAUACCGCGAGGUAUUAUCAAGAGCUGUUAAGGCUGUUGAAGGAAGACGCAGUGAACUGAAACAUCUAAGUAGCUGCAGGAAGAGAAAGAAAAAUCGAUUUCCCAAGUAGCGGCGAGCGAACAGGAAAGAGCCCAAACCAGCUGGCUUGCCAGUUGGGGUAGUAGGACUGCAAUAAAGUACUUGAAGCGAUAGCAGAAUUAUCUGGAAAGAUAAGCCAGAGAGGGUGAGAGCCCCGUAAGCGAAAUUGCAGAGAGACUUAGCAGGAUCCUGAGUAGGUCGGGACACGAGGAAUCCCGAUUGAAACCGCGAGGACCAUCUCGCAAGGCUAAAUACUAACUAGUGACCGAUAGUGAACCAGUACCGUGAGGGAAAGGUGAAAAGAACCCCGGAAGGGGAGUGAAAGAGAACCUGAAACCGUGUGCCUACAAGUAGUCAAAGCACAUUAAAGUGUAAUGGCGUGCCUUUUGUAGAAUGAACCGGCGAGUUACGUUAUGGUGCAAGGUUAAGUCAGAAAAGACGGAGCCGGAGCGAAAGCGAGUCUGAAGAGGGCGAGAGAGUAUCAUGACGUAGACCCGAAACCAAGUGACCUACCCAUGACCAGGUUGAAGGCGUGGUAAAACACGCUGGAGGACCGAACCCACGUGAGUUAAAAAUCGCGGGGAUGAGUUGUGGGUAGCGGUGAAAUUCCAAACGAACUUGGAGAUAGCUGGUUCUCUCCGAAAUAGCUUUAGGGCUAGCCUCGUGUGAAUGAUAAUGGAGGUAGAGCGCUGUUUGGACUAGGGGCCCGUCAGGGGUUACUGAAUCCAGAUAAACUCCGAAUGCCAGAUAUCAAUGCACGGGAGUCAGACUGCGAGUGAUAAGAUCCGUAGUCGAAAGGGAAACAGCCCAGAUCACCAGUUAAGGUCCCCAAAUCUAUGCUAAGUGGAAAAGGAUGUGGAGUUGCGUAGACAACUAGGAUGUUGGCUUAGAAGCAGCCACCAUUUAAAGAGUGCGUAAUAGCUCACUAGUCGAGUGAUCCUGCGCCGAAAAUGUAACGGGGCUAAACACAUUACCGAAAUCGUGGAUGUACCGUAAGGUACAUGGUAGGAGAGCGUUCUAAGGACGGCGAAGCUAGACCGUAAGGACUGGUGGAGUGCUUAGAAGUGAGAAUGCCGGUAUGAGUAGCGAAAGAUCAGUGAGAAUCUGGUCCACCGUAUGACUAAGGUUUCCUGGGGAAGGCUCGUCCUCCCAGGGUUAGUCGGGACCUAAGCCGAGGCCGAGAGGCGUAGGCGAUGGAUAACAGGUUGAGAUUCCUGUACUGGUUAAACUUGUUUGAACAAUGGAGGGACGCAGGAGGCUAUCGAUGCGUACUGUUGGAUAUGUACGUUCAAGCAACAAGUCUGUAGAUGAGUCAAAUGCUUAUCUACUUAAGGACAAGUUGUGAUGAGGAGCGAAAUUUAGUAGCGAAGUGAGAGACGUCACACUGCCAAGAAAAGCUUCUAGUUAGAGUUUAAUCACCCGUACCGCAAACCGACACAGGUAGUCGAGGCGAGUAGCCUAAGGUGAGCGAGAGAACUCUCGUUAAGGAACUCGGCAAAAUGACCCCGUAACUUCGGGAGAAGGGGUGCUGAUGGUAAAAGAUCAGCCGCAGUGAAUAGGCCCAAACAACUGUUUAUCAAAAACACAGGUAUCUGCAAAAUCGUAAGAUGACGUAUAGGUGCUGACACCUGCCCGGUGCUGGAAGGUUAAGAGGAGAGCUUAGCGCAAGCGAAGGUUUGAAUUGAAGCCCCAGUAAACGGCGGCCGUAACUAUAACGGUCCUAAGGUAGCGAAAUUCCUUGUCGGGUAAGUUCCGACCUGCACGAAAGGCGCAACGACUUGGGCGCUGUCUCGACCAUGGACCCGGUGAAAUUGCACUGGUCGUGAAGAUGCGACUUACCCGCGGAAGGACGGAAAGACCCCGUGAACCUUCACUGCAGCUUGGCAUUGGCCGCUGGUCCCGCGUGUAGAGGAUAGGCAGGAGGCAUCGAUCCGGAGGCGCCAGCCCCCGGGGAGCCGCCCUUGGAAUACUGCCCUCGCGCGACCGGCGUCCUAACCCGAGGCCGUCAACCGGCUCGGGGACCGUGCCAGGCGGGCAGUUUGACUGGGGCGGUCGCCUCCUAAAGGGUAACGGAGGCGCGCGAAGGUCCGCUCGGGACGGUCGGCAACCGUCCUUUUGAAUGCAAGAGUACAAGCGGGCUUGACUGCGAGGCCCACAAGCCGAGCAGGUGCGAAAGCAGGCUCUAGUGAUCCGGCGGCCCCGAGUGGGUGGGCCGUCGCUCAACGGAUAAAAGGUACUCCGGGGAUAACAGGCUGAUCUUGCCCAAGAGUCCACAUCGACGGCAAGGUUUGGCACCUCGAUGUCGGCUCAUCGCAUCCUGGGGCUGGAGCAGGUCCCAAGGGUACGGCUGUUCGCCGUUUAAAGCGGUACGCGAGCUGGGUUCAGAACGUCGUGAGACAGUUCGGUCCCUAUCCUCCGUGGGCGCAGGAGAAUCGAUGGAGGCUGCCCCCAGUACGAGAGGACCGGGGUGGACGCACCUCCGGUGAACCGGUUGUCGACCAACGGCACGGCCGGGUAGCCGCGUGCGGCGCGGAUAACCGCUGAAGGCAUCUAAGCGGGAAGCCGUUCCAGGGAUUAGUUCUCCUUCCGGUAAGGGCCCAGGUAGACUACCUGGUCGAUAGACGGCAGGUGCAAGGGCGGCGACGUCCUCAGCCGAGCCGCACUAAUCGCCCGAGCUCUUCCGGA
rnacentral:rRNA from 1 species